AGCGGCAAACGGGUGAGUAAUACGUAAGCAACCAACCUCAAAGACCGGUACAACUAGUCGAAAGACUGGCUAAUGCCGGAUGUGCUCCGCGCAUGUAAAUCCCGGCUUUGAGACGGGCUUGCGUCCUAUCAGCUUGUUGGCGGGGUAACGGCCCACCAAGGCUAUGACGGGUAGCUGGUCUGAGAGGACGACCAGCCACAAGGGAACUGAGACACGGUCCCUACUCCUACGGGAGGCAGCAGUGAGGAAUUUUCCGCAAUGGGCGAAAGCCUGACGGAGCGACGCCGUGUGUGCGAUGACGUCUUUCGGGAUGUAAAGCACUGUCAGUGGGGACGAUUGACGGUACCCACAGAGGAAGGCCCGGCUAACUACGUGCCAGCAGCCGCGGUAAUAC
rnacentral:rRNA from 1 species